rnacentral:rRNA from 1 species
UUAUACAAUUAAUGUUAUUUAAUGUGUUUAUAAGUUAAAGCUUAUUUUUAUUGAAAAUUUAUAUAAUAUUUUUAGGUGAAAUUUAAAUAUUAUUUAUUUUUUAUAAAGUUUGUUUUUAAAGUUAAAUUUUAAACUAGGAUUAGAUACCCUAUUAUUUUAAUAGUAAAGCUUAUUGGGUAGUAAUAGUUAUGUUCUUUAAAUCCAAAGGAUUUGGCGGUGUUUUAGUCUAUUUAGAGGAAUUUGUCCCUUAAUCGAUAAUCCUCGUUGUAUCUUUCUUUAUCUAUUUUGAGUAUGUAUACCUCCGUUAUAAGUUUAUUUUAUAGGAUUAUUUACUUAAUAAUUUAU